GGGGCCGUAGCUCAGUUGGGAGAGCGCUGCGUUCGCAACGCAGAGGCCGAGGGUUCGACUCCCUUCGGCUCCACAA
rnacentral:tRNA from 1 species